rnacentral:rRNA from 1 species
CCUACGGUGGGCAGCAGUGGGGAAUAUUGCGCAAUGGGCGAAAGCCUGAAGCAGCGACGCCGCGUGAGGGAUGAAGGUCUUCGGAUUGUAAACCUCUGUCAGCAGGGAAGAACGGUCACUGUGCUAAUCAGCAGUGAAUUGACGGUACCUGCCAAGGAAGCCACGGCUAACUCCGUGCCCGCAGCCGCGGUCAUACGGAGGGUGCUAGCGUUAAUCGGAAUUACUGGGCGUAAAGGGCGCGUAGGCGGUAUGUCAAGUCAAGGGUGAAAUCCCCGGGGUGAAUGUCGGAAGUGCCUUUGAAACUGGCAAACUGGAGUGUGUGAGAGGAUAGUGGAAUGCCAGGUGUAGGAGUGAAAUCCGGAGAUAUCUGGAGGAACAUCGGUGGCGAAGGCGACUAUCUGGCACAUAACUGACGCUGAGGAGCGAAAGCGUGGGUAGCAAACAGGAUUAGAUACCCCAGUAGUC